AGAUAAUUUAGCAUUCGCAGCCUAAUGGCUGCUGUCUGACCUAGUGCACCUACACAUUGGGACCCAGGCAUCGAUUAUGUAGGAAACGACACAUACAAAGCUUUGCGUAUGUGGGCGUAUUAUGAAGCUACUGACUGUUUAGGGGAGUUGGUUCGCCUAUGCAGAAGGGAAAUGAGCUUUGCUCGAAACAAUCAAAUAAACCUGUAGAAGUACAUGGGAUGGUUUUUUGGACACGGGUUCGACUCCCGUCUACUCCACUG
rnacentral:tmRNA from 1 species